rnacentral:rRNA from 1 species
AACCUCCGCAAUGUGAGAAAUCGCGACGGGGGGAUCCCAAGUGCCAUUCUUAACGGGAUGGCUUUUCAUUAGUGUAAAGAGCUUUUGGAAUAAGAGCUGGGCAAGACCGGUGCCAGCCGCCGCGGUAACACCGGCAGCUCUAGUGGUAACAAUUUUUAUUGGGCCUAAAGCGUCCGUAGCCGGUUUAAUAAGUCUCUGGUGAAAUCCUGUAGCUUAACUGUGGGAAUUGCUGGAGAUACUAUUAGACUUGAGACCGGGAGAGGUUAGAGGUACUCCCAGGGUAGAGGUGAAAUUCUGUAAUCCUGGGAGGACCGCCUGUUGCGAAGGCGUCUAACUGGAACGGUUCUGACGGUGAGGGACGAAAGUUAGGGGCGCGAACCGGAUUAGAUACCCGGGUAGUCCUAACUGUAAACGAUGCGACUUGGUGUUGGGGUGGCUUUGAGCUGCUCCAGUGCCGAAGGGAAGCUGUUAAGUCCGCCGCCUGGGAAGUACGGUCGCAAGACUGAAACUUAAAGGAAUU